rnacentral:rRNA from 1 species
CUACGGGUGGCUGCAGUGAGGAAUUUUGCGCAAUGGGGGAAACCCUGACGCAGCAACGCCGCGUGAGCGAAGAAGGCCCUCGGGUCGUAAAGCUCUGUCAAGUGGGAAAAAAGCCUUUUGAUCAAUACCCAAAAGGUUUGAUGGUACCACUGGAGGAAGCACCGGCUAACUCAGUGCCAGCAGCCGCGGUAAUACGGAGGGUGCAAGCGUUGUUCGGAAUUACUGGGCGUAAAGGGCGUGCAGGCGGUUUGGCAAGUCAGAUGUGAAAGCCCUGGGCUUAACCCGGGAAGUGCAUUUGAAACUGCCUUUCUUGAGUAUGGGAGAGGAGAGUGGAAUUCCCAGUGUAGAGGUGAAAUUCGUAGAUAUUGGGAGGAACACCCGUGGCGAAGGCGACUCUCUGGACCAAUACUGACGCUGAGACGCGAAAGCGUGGGGAGCAAACAGGAUUAGAUACCCUCGUAGUC